rnacentral:rRNA from 1 species
GCACGAACUUAGCCCGUGCUUCCUCUGAGGCUCUGUCAAGUACAGGGGAGUACCCCCAUACACUUCAUCCCCUCUGACAGCGGUUUACAAUCCGAAGACCUUCAUCCCGCACGCGGCGUCGCUCGGUCAGACUUGCGUCCAUUGCCGAAGAUUCUCGACUGCAGCCACCCGUAGGUGUCUGGCCAGUGUCUCAGUGCCAGUGGUGGGGGCCAUGCUCUCACACCCCCUAAGCGUCGUCGCCUUGGUGAGCCGUUACCUCACCAACAAGCUGAUACUGCGUAAGCCGCUCCCCAGGUGGAAUCACACCCAUUGCUUCCCCUCCAAUAAUGAUUGGGAAGUUUAUCGAGUAUUACCCACAGUUUCCCGUGGCUGUCCUCGCCCCGGGGGUACGUUACCUACGUGUUCCUACCCCGUUCGCCGCUGUCCCCCUUGCGGGUUCUCGCUCGACUUGCAUGCCUAAUCCACGCCGCCAACGUUCAUU